rnacentral:tRNA from 1 species
GGAGGGUUGGCAGAAUUGGCUAUUGCACCGGUCUUGAAAACCGGCGCCCGCAAGGGCUUGGGGGUUCGAGUCCCUCACCCUCCG